rnacentral:rRNA from 1 species
GAUGAACGCUGGCGGCGUGCCUAAUACAUGCAAGUCGAGCGAACAGACGAGGAGCUUGCUCCUCUGACGUUAGCGGCGGACGGGUGAGUAACACGUGGAUAACCUACCUAUAAGACUGGGAUAACUUCGGGAAACCGGAGCUAAUACCGGAUAACAUGUUGAACCGCAUGGUUCAACAGUGAAAGACGGUCUUGCUGUCACUCAUAGAUGGAUCCGCGCCGCAUUAGCUAGUUGGUAAGGUAACGGCUUACCAAGGCAACGAUGCGUAGCCGACCUGAGAGGGUGAUCGGCCACACUGGAACUGAGACACGGUCCAGACUCCUACGGGAGGCAGCAGUAGGGAAUCUUCCGCAAUGGGCGAAAGCCUGACGGAGCAACGCCGCGUGAGUGAAGAAGGUCUUCGGAUCGUAAAACUCUGUUAUUAGGGAAGAACAAAUGUGUAAGUAACUAUGCACGUCUUGACGGUACCUAAUCAGAAAGCCACGGCUAACUACGUG